UGAUUCCUUAUUUCCUUCUUUAGUUAAAAAAAAAAGAAAACUCUAAUACCUAAUCUCUCUCAACUCUCUCAACUACUGCAGCCGACAUCAUCAAGAUCCACCGCACCACGGCAAUCCGGCAUCCACCGCUCCACUGCACCGGCAUCAAGAUCCUCCCAUGUCCGCCUGCAUCCACCGCUGGCCAUCCACCACGCAUAGCACUCCGGCAGUUCAAAAUUUGCCGAUAUCAGAUCUGAAUCUAAAUUGAAGUUCGGUUUGAUUCGGAGUUGAAGAUUGGAACAAAUAACAGUAUGUGCAGCUGAAUGGUUUGGGUAUUUUGAAUAAGAACUGUUGAUUAAAAUCGAAGUCGGAUACUUUUAGUUCAUUUCGGAAACUAAAAACUGGAUUUUGUUGGAUCAGGCCCCUUUUUUAGGACUUUAAGGUUCCUGUAAUAGCAUAAACAAUGUGUGAAUCACAGUUUGAUUUUUUUUUAAUCACAGUUUGAUUUUUUAGUGUUCGUUAACAGGUAUUAACAGCUAAUUUUCGUGUAUAUCGUGUCGUGUUCGUGUUUGAAAAAAAGGACACGAAAUCUUAUCGUGUCGUGUUCGUGUAUGGCCUUUCGUGUAUCGUGUCUUAUCGUGUCGUAUCUUAUCGGGUACGGGUAUACACGAUAUGUCAGCCCUAGUUCCAAAUAGCUUUUGGCUUGGUGAAACUUAUUAUGUGGAACAACUUCUAUACAUUUGACAAAUCACCAAGCUAAUAUCUGUAUCUUAUCUAUUACAAUUCAUCACCAAAUCUAUACUUAUACUUUAGUCUCACCAAAUUUAUUUAAUAAAAAUACAAAAUAUUUAGAAAUUACAAUAACGAACCCACUACAAACAGUGAUAUAAUGUGCCUUUGUACAACAAAAGUGAAAUGAUUGAAAUCCAAAACCAUAAAAAAAUCAAUAAAUAAAAUGAAUUUAGUAAACAAACACUGUUAGAAGCCCUUUAUCUAAGACCGUCCGUAGUGGAGCGUUUUUUUUUUUUUUAAAUUGCAAAAAUAACGCCAUAUAACGCCCAAACCCCCAUUACACGGGGCGUUUUGGGGCGUGAUUUUUGAAAAAAAAAAACGUUUUGGCGUUUUAAUUAAAACGCUAUGCACAUAUGGUUUUAACCAAUCAGUUUUGAGCAUUCCCUGACAACUUUUGACAACCUCACUUUUGUUUUAAAUGCCCUGACAACAUGCAUUUGUUGUUUGUUGACUAGCCAAUGGAGUAAUGACAACAUGCACAGGACCCGAAAGCAUACACAUGACCAUUUUGUUUUUUUUUUUUUUCUAAUUGGAAGGGGCGUUAUUGGCAUAAUGCCCCACUACGCCACUUUUGCUAUAAUGCCCCAACGCUGAGUAGGAUGCCACGUGUCGGAUAAUGCCCCAUGAUAGGGGCAUUAUGUUUGUUCACCACUACACAUGGUCUAACCAACUAUACACCCAGACGAAAACUUUAUAUCAGGAUAAGGCGAUAACGGUGGCACCUCAAAUAUCCCUUUCCCGUUACCCUCACCAAAAUCCCAAACAGCCGUCCAACUAGACGGCGUUAACGGCACAACACCACCCCCAUCCGUUGUCUUAACGACGUCACACACCUCGGUUUCCGGCUCAACUUUCGGUUGUUUCCAGGGUUCAACAUCUACUUCCGUCUCUCUAACAACCCUUUUCCGCCCACUACUCUUCCCCUCCGCCAGCGAACACCCAAUUUCCAAUGGGAAAUUUAAUAUCGCCUUAUUACCACGAAGCUUAAACGCUGCACGGUCGUACGCCUUAGCGGCCUGUACGGUCGUGUCAAACGUCCCUAACCAAACCCGUGUCCCUUUUUUAUUCGGGUCACGGAUUUCGGCUGCAAACUUUCCCCACGGCCGUUGUCUUACUCCUCUAUAAUGUAUUCUUUCCGCCACUAAGGGAAUUGAGAUGUUUAUAUCGGGUUUUCGUUCUUUUAAAGUAUUACGGUAAUUAGUUUCAAGUUUACCAUUAAUUGAUGGUGAAGUUUGAGGGUAUGUUUGAAAGAAGGAUGCGUCAUCGAUGAGGAGGUGUUGGCGGAUGAGGUCUAGAGUUGAGGAUUCUUGAUCUGAAGACAUUGAUGAUGAUGAUGAUGAUGCUAAAUGGAAUUGAAUUGUUGAAUUUGAAGUGGAAAAAAGAGGAGUGAUAUGAAAAGAUUUAUAGGGGUGAAUUUGAAGGUGAAAGGUGGGAGAGAGGGUGAUUCGGGGAUGAAGGAAGGAAGCAUCUGCAUAAAGUGAAAUGAGUUUGGUUUUAUCUUGCUUUGUUAUCAUCCCAUGCAACUUGCUUCAUCCAUCUCACCUAGAACUCGAGAAAUGGAUGGCAAAGGAGGUAAUAAGUCAUAACGGGUUUGGUGAUUGGUAUGUCUUUAUAGCUGUUGGACCCCGACGAC
rnacentral:lncRNA from 1 species